rnacentral:tRNA from 1 species
GGCAUCUUAGCCAAGUGGUUACGGCGACAGAUUAGAAAUCUGUUUCCCUUUGGGAGCGUAGGUUCGAGUCCUGCAGAUGUCA